GGAACAUCAUGGUUUAUUAGCGAACAACAAAGAUCCCUGUUAAAGCAUUUUGAUUGACAGUCUGACUUUGCUGCCCAUUAUAGACAUAAUGUCUAUAAUGGAUGGACAAUCAGAGGCCCUCAGAGGUCCAGACUCUGCUAUUCUGGAAUUCUGUCAUCCCCAAUGAUAAUGUGGAGACCAGUUUUAUGGCAAUACCUCCAACCACCAGUCCUGUUUAUGAAGACAGCGUCUAUCAAAUUUCUAGUCUGUCAGUACCCCUCUCACCUUUGUAUUCCUUAUUGAUUUGAUUAAGGGAGUGUUUUCCAGGUCCCCUCAGUGACCAUAGCCAGGCGAUAGAUUUCUAGAUCUUACAUAAUAAACUAAUUCUAACAGCCUCGUCUCCAAAAAACCAAAAAAGUUCUAGCAUCCCUUCCUCAUUAACUGGAGCCCAUUGGCACAUACAAGCUUUAAGGACUCAGUUUAAGAUUUUUAGAAUUCUCUUGAGAUUUUUAUUGCCCAGCAUUGAAAUCCAAGUCAUGAAUGAACUCUCCUUUGUCAAUAAAUGUUCCCUAUCCAGUCUUACCAGCUGCUUUCCUGUUCCAGGUUAGCACUCCUGAGAUCUACCUCCCUGGGUCCUGCAAAUGCUUGGGAAUGCAGAUCAACCCUCCUGAAGCAUAGAUUGUGCUGACAUCAGUACCACCUGAUCAGAUUGUCCUGAUCAGACUGGGAGGCAGG
rnacentral:lncRNA from 1 species